CAAACCAAUAGUCCUCGCAGGAAUCCCACGGAGUCGCAGAAGAUCCCAGAGUGCCUCACGAUCGAUGCACUGAAUCAAACGCCUUCCUGAGAUCGACACAGGCUGCAAGCAUCCCCUGUCGAAACUCACCUCGGCGCUCCACCACUCGUAAACCUUCUAUCAGUCGAUCAAUCUCAUUCAAUCAUUCAGUCAGUCAGUCAACCAGUUUGUCUGCCAGGCAAUCGGUCAGUCUGUCAGACAGUCAAUCCAUCAUUCAUUCAGUCAGUCAGUUAACCAGCUAUAUAGUCAGUCAGUAUAUCAUGCGGUCAGGCAGUCAGUCAGUUAGUCAGUCAGUCAAUUAGUCAACCAGUCAGUCAGUCAGUUAAUCAAGCAGUCAGUGAGUCAGUCAUUAGAGGAAACAAGAACAGUUUUGUGGUGAGGAAGGUGCUUGAAAAAUAGUGUCAGUGGAAUGCAGCACUUAUAUUUACCGGGAUGAUGUCAGCAAGGAGAGUCAAUUAACAGUUUAACUGGAGCACACGAGUUUAGCAACUAGACGAAUACAAAUGAAUAAUAGAUAAAUUUACACAUCAUAGAUAGACAACUAUAAUAUAAGGUAAGUACAAUGUUCCAAGUACGACAAUUUCGUAUCGCUGGCGAGUCACACGGGCGUGAAGUUGCCAGCUCGUUACACUCAGCCUGUUAUAUUUGCCGAUCUCCCACCCAAAACCUGUCUCUGGCGCCCAAUAACGAGACUCAGAUAUAGUUAUCACUAAAACCGUUGAUUCCUGAUGUGUUUUGGCAAUGGUUAAGCGUCGAAAACCGGUACAUGCACGAGGGCGAGAUGAUGAAGGCAAGUUAUCCCAGCAUCGUUUCCAGAUUGUCGUACUCGGAGCAUUACAUUUACCAGCUUCUCCCGCAUAAAUAUCACCAGGAAACAUGAAUAAUAAACCAUUUCAACAAUAACUACAAAUAAAUAUCGUUAUUGUGACCCAGGAAACAGUUUUGGGGAUGGAAAUUGGGAAACAUGAGAAACUGAGUACGACAAUCUGGCAACGUUGUACAAUAAUCCCAGCCAUCAGCUGUUCAGUGUUUGUUUACCUCGCGCGGGGAGAGAGAUCCUCGUGCUCCCGGCCUUGUAGCGGUGCCGUGGCGGGGCGUGUAGGCGUUGACAUCACUCACGGUCAUCGGCACUGCCCAUACACUCAGUCCACCCUGGCGGGGACCUCACCAAUGACCUCCAUGAAAACAGGGUCCCAGACAAGCCAGUUGGUCUGAAGGCCGUGGCGCUGACUGACCACAUCAGGGUGUGCUGGCAGCCCCCCGCACAGCACAAUGUGAUGCUGUGCGGCUACACCAUUGCCUGGGACCAAGGCGUGGCGGACAUCUACUCCAAGAUCGUGGACAGCAAGCAGCACGGUUACAUCAUUGAUAAGCUGGAACCCAACAUGGAGUUUGUGAUAAGCCUGUGAGCCUUCAACAACGUGGGUGACGGGCAACCGGUGUACCAGCAAGUCCGCACCCAGCCAGAGGAGGAGGAGGUGGUGGCACCCACGCUGGACCCGGCGGUGGGGGUGGAGGCCGUGGUGCUGACGCCCUUCACCGUGGUGCUGCAGUGGGCGGACACCAUGCUGAGCCAGAACCAGUACAACAGCUGCACCACCUUCUCGUCCUCAUCCUCCAGCCGCUACGUCAACGCCACGGAUGUGACCUGCCUCAUUGACAGCCUCAAGCCAUCAACAGUGUGUGAGUUUGCUGUGAAGACCAUCAUGUGGAGACCACAGUGCUGGAAGCCUUCGUUCUUCUUUCAGUAAAUAUUCACUCAGUCCUGCAACACUUCUCAAGGAAAUCCUGCACAGCUGAAUCCUUGCUGUGAUGAGGCACAGAGAAAUUAUGACUCAUAGGGUGAGCUAUUAUUAGUGUUUGAGA